GGCCAGGGGUGACUCUGGUUCAAUCCAAGGAGCAGUAUUAGGAAGAAAUGCAUGCUCUCCCUCAAGAUCUUUCUCUGCAACUAGGAAGUGAGACUCUGUUUCCAGGACUUUAAUAAAGGUACAGUUCAACCACACACAUAUUAGGGAGAGAAGAGGUAAUGUAAGAGUCUGGGGACUGAAAAUAAAGCACAACUGAAGUGCAAUGUGUGUGGAUUGUAAUUUAGGGGUGGGGAGGGGAAGCUAGCUUUCAAAUUGUAAAUGUUUGGUUAUUUGCAGUAGUUAAUCAUCUUAUGCUGAAAUCUAUAAUUUCUCCAAGGAGCUAAACAGAAUUGUAAACCUUUUUUUUUUACUCAAGCAUGUUGCUAUGCAUCACCAGUUGCAUCUUUAAUG